rnacentral:rRNA from 1 species
CCUACGGGUGGCAGCAGUGAGGAAUAUUGGUCAAUGGGCGUAAGCCUGAACCAGCCAAGUCGCGUGAGGGAUGAAGGUUCUAUGGAUCGUAAACCUCUUUUAUAAGGGAAUAAAGUGUGGGACGUGUCCUGUUUUGUAUGUACCUUAUGAAUAAGGAUCGGCUAACUCCGUGCCAGCAGCCGCGGUAAUACGGAGGAUCCGAGCGUUAUCCGGAUUUAUUGGGUUUAAAGGGUGCGUAGGCGGCCUUUUAAGUCAGCGGUGAAAGUCUGUGGGUAAACCAUAGAAUUGCCGUUGAAACUGGGAGGCUUGAGUAUGUUUGAGGCAGGCGGAAUGCGUGGUGUAGCGGUGAAAUGCUUAGAUAUCACGCAGAACCCCGAUUGCGAAGGCAGCCUGCCAGGCCAUGACUGACGCUGAUGCACGAAAGCGUGGGGAUCAAACAGGAUUAGAUACCCCGGUAGUC